GUGCAGCAGGCGAGAAACCUCCGCAAUGCGGGAAACCGCGACGGGGGACCCCGAGUGCCGUGGCAACGCCACGGCUUUUCCGGAGUGUAAAAAGCUCCGGGAAUAAGGGCUGGGCAAGGCCGGUGGCAGCCGCCGCGGUAAUACCGGCGGCCCGAGUGGUGGCCGCUAUUAUUGGGCCUAAAGCGUCCGUAGCCGGGCCCGUAAGUCCCUGGCGAAAUCCCACGGCUCAACCGUGGGGCUUGCUUGGGAUACUGCGGGUCUUGGGACCGGGAGAGGCGGGGGGUACCCCUGGGGUAGGGGUGAAAUCCUAUAAUCCCAGGGGGACCGCCAGUGGCGAAGGCGCCCCGCUGGAACGGGUCCGACGGUGAGGGACGAAGGCCAGGGGAGCAAACCGGAUUAGAUACCCGCGUAGU
rnacentral:rRNA from 1 species